ACCCGCUGUCUGCGUGCUUCUUUCCAUCCCUUCAGAGGUUAUCUCUGAUGUGAAUACAGGAGGAAGCACAAGGCUCUCCAAGGCGAUACGUAAAGCUGAAGAAAUGCAGAGUGAUUGACAGAAAUCUCCAGUUUUUCUGUUGGAAUGAAAACACAAUGCUGACUGUCACUACAGUUCUUCAACCUGAGGCCACCUUGUGCCCAAUGCAAUUAUACACCCACCAUAUUCGUCAUUAUGGUCUCAGCCAACCCAUUCCGCCUGGAUGGGGCAGUCCUGUGAUUUACAUCCCCACACUGACCCUCCUGGAACCAGGGUCCUGAAGAUUCAAUUAAAUCCAAGAACUUGGAUCAUUUUGAGGAACAAUUUGUUUUUAUCAGGUCUCUAAACUUUUACUUU